UACGUAGGUGGCAAGCGUUAUCCGGAUUUACUGGGUGUAAAGGGCGUGUAGGCGGGUCUGCAAGUCAGAUGUGAAAUCUCCGGGCUUAACUCGGAAGGGUCAUCUGAAACUACGGAUCUUGAGUACUGGAGAGGAUAGUGGAAUUCCUAGUGUAGCGGUAAAAUGCGUAGAUAUUAGGAGGAACACCAGUGGCGAAGGCGGCUUUCUGGACUGUAACUGACACUGAGGCAUGAAAGCGUGGGUAGCAAACAGGAUUAGAUACCCUGGUA
rnacentral:rRNA from 1 species